AGCAGAGUGGUUUAGUGGAUGGAGUGUGGGCCUGGGAGUCAGAAGAACCUGGGUUCUAAUCCCAGCUCUGCCA
rnacentral:tRNA from 1 species